rnacentral:rRNA from 1 species
CCAGACUCCUACGGGAGGCAGCAGUGGGGAAUAUUGGGCAAUGGGCGCAAGCCUGACCCAGCAACGCCGCGUGAAGGAAGAAGGCUUUCGGGUUGUAAACUUCUUUUGUCAGGGACGAAGCAAGUGACGGUACCUGACGAAUAAGCCACGGCUAACUACGUGCCAGCAGCCGCGGUAAUACGGAGGAUGCGAGCGUUAUCCGGAUUUAUUGGGUUUAAAGGGUGCGCAGGCGGGCUGUUAAGCCGGCGGUAAAAAUUCAGGGCUCAACCCUGUCGAGCCGUCGGAACUGGCAGUCUUGAGUGGGCGAGAAGUAUGCGGAAUGCGUGGUGUAGCGGUGAAAUGCAUAGAUAUCACGCAGAACGCCGAUUGCGAAGGCAGCAUACCGGCGCCCAACUGACGCUGAGGCACGAAAGCGUGGGGAUCGAACAGGAUUAGAUACCCCCGUACGC